rnacentral:tmRNA from 1 species
CCCUUUGCAAAACGCUCUGCGACAACCUAUAUCUGGGGAGCCCCUCGGGGCUAUGGACAUAAACGCGCUCGUAAUAAGCGGAUCGGACCCGGGGGCGGUACCCGGCGACUCCACCACAACCCUCUCGUUUGGAGGUCAUGGGGUCGAAAUAGGAUCGACGAACGUCUAAAGGGGUAAGCUUUGUCUCGGUGAGAUACCACCGUUAUCGGUUCAUUUAAGCUAGUUGCAAACGACAACAAAGCUCCAGUUGCUCUGGCUGCGUAAGCGGUCCGAAAAACUGAAAUCUUAAGCCCUAUCGCCUUGCAGCGAUAGGCGGGGUUCGCAGGUACCUGGCAACAGAAACCUGCAUU